UACGUAGGGUGCGAGCGUUAAUCGGAAUUACUGGGCGUAAAGUGUGCGCAGGCGGCUUCGCAAGUCGAGUGUGAAAUCCCCCGAGCUUAACUUGGGAAUUGCGCUCGAAACUACGGAGCUGGAGUGUGGCAGAGGAAGGUGGAAUUCCACGUGUAGCGGUGAAAUGCGUAGAGAUGUGGAGGAACACCGAUGGCGAAGGCAGCCUUCUGGGCCAACACUGACGCUCAUGCACGAAAGCGUGGGAG
rnacentral:rRNA from 1 species